rnacentral:rRNA from 1 species
AACGAACGCUGGCGGCAUGCCUAACACAUGCAAGUCGAACGAGACCUUCGGGUAUAGUGGCGCACGGGUGCGUAACGCGUGGGAACCUGCCCUUAGGUUCGGAAUAACUCCCCGAAAGGGGUGCUAAUACCGGAUAAUGUCUUCGGACCAAAGAUUUAUCGCCUUUGGAUGGGCCCGCGUUGGAUUAGCUAGUUGGUAGGGUAAAAGCCUACCAAGGCGACGAUCCAUAGCUGGUCUGAGAGGAUGAUCAGCCACACUGGGACUGAGACACGGCCCAGACUCCUACGGGAGGCAGCAGUGGGGAAUAUUAGACCAUGGGCGAAAGCCUGAUCCAGCAAUGCCGCGUGAGUGAUGAAGGCCUUAGGGUUGUAAAGCUCUUUUACCCGGGAUGAUAAUGACAGUACCGGGAGAAUAAGCUCCGGCUAACUCCGUG